ACGAACGCUGGCGGCAGGCCUAACACAUGCAAGUCGAGCGGACCCUUCGGGGUUAGCGGCGGACGGGUGAGUAACGCGUGGGAAUAUGCCCUUCUCUACGGAAUAGUCCUGGGAAACUGGGGGUAAUACCGACUCGGCCUUUGGGGGGAAAGGUUUUUCGGGGAGGGAUUGGCCGGCGUUGGAUUGGGUAGUUGGUGGGGUAAUGGCCUACCAAGCCGACGAUCCAUAGCUGGUUGGGGAGGAUGAUCAGCCACACUGGGACUGAGACACGGCCCAGACUCCUACGGGAGGCAGCAGUGGGGAAUCUUAGACAAUGGGGGCAACCCUGAUCUAGCCAUGCCGCGUGAGUGAUGAAGGCCUUAGGGUUGUAAAGCUCUUUCAGCUGGGAAGAUAAUGACGGUACCAGCAGAAGAAGCCCCGGCUAACUCCGUG
rnacentral:rRNA from 1 species